rnacentral:misc_RNA from 1 species
CCGAGUUAUCAACUCCCAAACCCCUGUGAACAUACCUUUUGUUGCCUCGGCGGGAUCGCCCCGGCGCCUCCGGGCCCGGAAUCCAGGCGCCCGCCGCAGGACCCAAACUCUUGUUUUCUAUAUGAAUCUUCUGAGUGACACAAGCAAAUAAAUUA